rnacentral:rRNA from 1 species
AUUGAACGCUGGCGGCAUGCCUUACACAUGCAAGUCGAACGGCAGCACGGGAGCUUGCUCCUGGUGGCGGGUGGCGAACGGGUGAGUAAUACAUCGGAACGUGCCCAGUAGUGGGGGAUAGCCCGGCGAAAGCCGGAUUAAUACCGCAUACGACCUACGGGUGAAAGCGGGGGACCGUAAGGCCUCGCGCUAUUGGAGCGGCCGAUGUCUGAUUAGCUUGUUGGUGGGGUAAAAGCCCACCAAGGCGACGAUCAGUAGCUGGUCUGAGGGGACGAUCAGCCACACUGGGACUGAGACACGGCCCAGACUCCUACGGGAGGCAGCAGUGGGGAAUUUUGGACAAUGGGGGCAACCCUGAUCCAGCAAUGCCGCGUGUGCGAAGAAGGCCUUCGGGUUGUAAAGCACUUUUGUCAGGGAAGAAAUCUUUCAGGCUAAUACCCUUGGAAGGAUGACGGUACCUGAAGAAUAAGCACCGGCUAACUACGUGCCAGCCGCCGCGGUAA